CGUACACUCCUGCGGGAGGCAGCAGUGGGGAAUAUUGGACAAUGGGCGCAAGUCUGAUCCAGCCAUGCCGCGUGAGUGAUGAAGGCCCUAGGGUUGUAAAGCUCUUUCACCGGUGAAGAUAAUGACGGUAACCGGAGAAGAAGCCCCGGCUAACUUCGUGCCAGCAGCCGCGGUAAUACGAAGGGGGCUAGCGUUGUUCGGAUUUACUGGGCGUAAAGCGCACGUAGGCGGACUAUUAAGUCAGGGGUGAAAUCCCGGGGCUCAACCCCGGAACUGCCUUUGAUACUGGUAGUCUUGAGUUCGAGAGAGGUGAGUGGAAUUCCGAGUGUAGAGGUGAAAUUCGUAGAUAUUCGGAGGAACACCAGUGGCGAAGGCGGCUCACUGGCUCGAUACUGACGCUGAGGUGCGAAAGCGUGGGGAGCAAACAGGAUUAGAUACCCCAGUAGUCCCAUGA
rnacentral:rRNA from 1 species